UUUCCGUAGGUGAACCUGCGGAAGGAUCUUUAUUGUAUAACCGAGGUGCGAGGGCUGUCGCUUACACGAAGGGUUGUGCACGCCCGAGUGCCAUAACACACAUCCAUCUCACCCCUAUGUGCACCACCGCGUGGGUCCCCCUUUGGCUUGUUCGGAGGGGGGCUUACGUUUUCACGCUAACUUAGUAUACAGUGUAGAAUGUAUUUUUUGUUUUUGCGAUCACGCAAUCAAUACAACUUUCAACAACGGAUCUCUUGGCUCUC
rnacentral:misc_RNA from 1 species